rnacentral:sRNA from 1 species
UCUGUGGUUCGGGUCCGCUUUCGUCUCUGUCCUGCUGCCGUUACCGCCGCCGCUGCUGCCGCCGCUUGCGCCCCCCCCCCCCCGCUCCGGUCUGUGGUGCAGCCGGGACCCAGGACCAUGUCGCUGUCUCGCUCAGAGGAGAUGCACCGGCUCACGGAAAAUGUCUAUAAGACCAUCAUGGAGCAGUUCAACCCUAGCCUCCGGAACUUCAUCGCCAUGGGGAAGAAUUACGAGAAGGCACUGGCAGGUGUGACGUAUGCAGCCAAAGGCUACUUUGACGCCCUGGUGAAGAUGGGAGAGCUGGCCAGCGAGAGCCAGGGCUCCAAAGAACUCGGAGACGUUCUCUUCCAGAUGGCUGAAGUCCACAGGCAGAUCCAGAAUCAGCUGGAAGAAAUGGUGAGUCCACCCCCAGCGUGGCCCUGCGAGGAGGGGCAGGCGCGAUGGGAGAGCUGGCGCCACACCUUGGCCAUGUGUCCACUUGGGAACAGUCCCAGUUGUCCAGCCACACUCGGAGGCAGGGAGGGACCCUGGCUCAGCACACAAGCCACACUCGAAGGAGGACGUCGGAGAAAAGGGCACAGGCCAGACUGCAGCCGCAUGUUU